CAUCCGAGUCUCAGAUAAUGAGACGAUCGUGGGAGGAAGGGAGAUUGAGUGAGAGAAAUAAAAAAAAAAAAAGAACAAAGAAGAAAAUUCCCUUCCUUUUCUCUUCUCUUUUAAUUUCCUCUUCUUUCCUCUUCUAUCUGAAAGAGACAGAGACAAUCUAAGAGAGGAGAGACCCAGUCCCCUUUUCUUUCCCCUAUCUCCUUUCUUCUUCCUUCUCCUUUUCGGUCUUCUUUUCUGUUUCUCACCGAGAGAGAGACCGAGAGGCCAGAGAGAGAGAGAGAUCGAGAGGCCAGAGAGAGAGAGGCCGACUGAGGCAGAGAGAUCAGAGAAGAGAGGGAGAGAUCGUGAGAGAGAGAAUAAGAGAUCGAGAGAUUGAGAGAGCGUUAGAGGGAGGAGCCGAGAGUGAAACCUAGAGAAGAAGCCGGGAGAGGCCGACCCUCGGUGGGCUUCUGGUGAUUGUCGCCGGUGGAGCAGAGGGCUGAUCGGAGGCCGAUCCUCCAGUGGGUGGUACUGGGCGUCGGCGAUGAGCCAGAGGCGCGAUUCCGGCCAGUCCCAGUGACGAUUUCCGGCCAAUUUCUGAUGGGUCAACUCCGGUGGAACAUGGGACACGAUUUCCGGCGGUUCUGGCCGAAAUUUCGGCAACUUCCAGUAGUUUUUCCGACGACUUCCAUAGGCGAAUUCCGGCGGUCCUAGCUCACUGAUUUUUGAGAAUAAGCUAUUAUGAGAACUGCACCAAAGGGCUGUCUAUAGACAAGGAAUAAAGCUCAAGAGGUUUUAAAGCUAAGGACGCAUAGUUUGC